rnacentral:SRP_RNA from 1 species
AGGCACAGUGGUGCAUGCCUGUAGUCCCACCUCCUCCUGAGGUGGGAGGAUCGCUUGAGUUCAGGAGUUCUGGGCUGUAGUGCGCUAUACCGAUCGGCUGUCUGCACUAAGUUCGGCGUCAAUAUGAUGACCUCCCAGGAGUGGGGGACCACCAGGUUGCCUAAGGAGGGGUGAACUGGCCCAAGUUGGAAACGGAGCAGGUCAAAACACCCGUGCUGAUCAGUAGUGGGAUCGUGCCUGUGAAUAGCCACUGAACUCCAGCCUGGGCAACAUAGCGAGACCUCGUCUCU